UACGGAGGGUGCAAGCGUUAAUCGGAAUUACUGGGCGUAAAGCGUGCGUAGGCGGCUUUGUAAGUUAGAGGUGAAAGCCCAGGGCUUAACCCUGGAAUUGCCUUUAAGACUGCAUCGCUAGAAUCGUGGAGAGGUGAGUGGAAUUCCGAGUGUAGAGGUGAAAUUCGUAGAUAUUCGGAAGAACACCAGUGGCGAAGGCGACUCACUGGACACGUAUUGACGCUGAGGUGCGAAAGCGUGGGGAGCAAACAGG
rnacentral:rRNA from 1 species